UACAGAGGGGGCCAGCGUUAUUCGGAAUUAUUGGGCGUAAAGGGCGCGUAGGCGGCCAUGCGUGUCUUCCGUGAAAUCCCUCGGCUUAACUGAGGACGUGCGGAAGAAACUGCAAGGCUCGAGUCCGGGAGAGGGGGGUGGAAUUCCCAGUGUAGCGGUGAAAUGCGUAGAUAUUGGGAGGAACACUUAGGGCGUAGGCAAGACUCUGGACAAAUGCUGACGCUCAUGCACGAAGGCUAGGGUAGCGAACGGG
rnacentral:rRNA from 1 species